UACGGAGGUAGAGCACUGAAUGUCCUAGGGGGUAUUGCACCUACCGAAGACUAUCAAACUCCGAAUGCCGUCAUCUUAUACUUGGGAGUCAGACUGUGGGUGAUAAGAUUCAUAGUCGAAAGGGCAACAGCCCAGAUCGGCAGCUAAGGUCCCUAAAUGUAAGUUAAGUGGUAAAGGAUGUGGGAUUGCACAGACAACCAGGAUGUUGGCUUAGAAGCAGCCACUCAUUCAAAGAGUGCGUAAUAGCUCACUGGUCGAGUGAUCCUGCGCCGAAGAUUUCCGGGGCUAAAACUUACUAC
rnacentral:rRNA from 1 species